rnacentral:rRNA from 1 species
UGGGGAAUAUUGGACAAUGGGGGAAACCCUGAUCCAGCAAUGCCGCGUGUGUGAAGAAGGCCUGCGGGUUGUAAAGCACUUUCAGAAGAGAAGAAAAGCGCAGUGAUAAUACCGCUGUGUCUUGACGUAACCUUCAGAAGAAGCACCGGCUAACUCCGUGCCAGCAGCCGCGGUAAUACGGAGGGUGCGAGCGUUAAUCGGAAUUACUGGGCGUAAAGCGUACGUAGGCGGUUAGAUUAGUCGGAUGUGAAAGCCCCGGGCUUAACCUGGGAAUUGCAUUCGAUACUGUCUAGCUAGAGUGUGGAAGAGGGAAGUGGAAUUCCAGGUGUAGCGGUGAAAUGCGUAGAUAUCUGGAGGAACAUCAGUGGCGAAGGCGACUUCCUGGUCCAACACUGACGCUGAGGUACGAAAGCGUGGGGAGCAAACAGG